rnacentral:rRNA from 1 species
GACGAACGCUGGCGGCGUGCUUAACACAUGCCAGUCGAACGGAAAGGCCCUUCGGGGUACUCGAGUGGCGAACGGGUGAGUAACACGUGGGUGAUCUGCCCUGCACUUUGGGAUAAGCCUGGGAAACUGGGUCUAAUACCGGAUAGGACCACGGCAUUCAUGUGCUGUGGUGGAAAGCUUUUGCGGUGUGGGAUGGGCCCGCGGCCUAUCAGCUUGUUGGUGGGGUAAUGGCCUACCAAGGCGUCGACGGGUAGCCGGCCUGAGAGGGUGACCGGCCACACUGGGACUGAGAUACGGCCCAGACUCCUACGGGAGGCAGCAGUGGGGAAUAUUGCACAAUGGGCGCAAGCCUGAUGCAGCGACGCCGCGUGAGGGAUGACGGCCUUCGGGUUGUAAACCUCUUUCGCCAGGGACGAAGCGCAAGUGACGGUACCUGGAGAAGAAGGACCGGCCAACUACGUG